rnacentral:miRNA from 1 species
UACCGUUGGGAGGAGUCCUAACAGCAGGAGGAGCUCUGAAUAUCUGCUUCUGCUGCCUGCCUUUAGGACCCUUUCCCACA